rnacentral:rRNA from 1 species
UAAUACGGAGGGUGCAAGCGUUAUCCGGAAUCACUGGGUUUAAAGGGUGCGUAGGCGGUUGUAUAAGUCAGGGGUGAAAGCACGCAGCUUAACUGUGUAAUUGCCUUUGAUACUGUACGGCUUGAAUAGGGUUGAGGUUGGCGGAAUGUGACAUGUAGCGGUGAAAUGCAUAGAUAUGUCAUAGAACACCGAUUGCGAAGGCAGCUGACUGGGCCUAUAUUGACGCUGAGGCACGAAAGCGUGGGGAGCGAACAGG